AUUGAACGCUGGCGGCAGGCCUAACACAUGCAAGUCGAACGGUAACAGGAAACAGCUUGCUGUUUCGCUGACGAGUGGCGGACGGGUAAGUAAUGUCUGGGAAACUGCCUGAUGGAGGGGGAUAACUACUGGAAACGGUAGCUAAUACCGCAUAACGUCGCAAGACCAAAGAGGGGGACCUUCGGGCCUCUUGCCAUCGGAUGUGCCCAGAUGGGAUUAGCUAGUAGGUGGGGUAACGGCUCACCUAGGCGACGAUCCCUAGCUGGUCUGAGAGGAUGACCAGCCAGACUGGAACUGAGACACGGUCCAGACUCCUACGGGAGGCAGCAGUGGGGAAUAUUGCACAAUGGGCGCAAGCCUGAUGCAGCCAUGCCGCGUGUAUGAAGAAGGCCUUCGGGUUGUAAAGUACUUUCAGCGGGGAGGAAGGCGAUAAGGUUAAUAACCUUGUCGAUUGACGUUACCCGCAGAAGAAGCACCGGCUAACUCCGUGCCAGCAGCCGCAGUAA
rnacentral:rRNA from 1 species